UCGUUAGCUCAGUCGGUAGAGCAGUUGACUCUUAAUCAAUUGGUCGUAGGUUCGAUCCCUACACGA
rnacentral:tRNA from 2 species